UGUCUAGCUCCGCCUGGAAAUGGCUCUAACUACGGUUCAUUGUGAGACAAAAGUGACACGGCAGAAAAGGAGCCAGAGCCCCAAUCAACACCAACUUUAAAGUUCUCUACAGAUGUGUGUGGUAUUGUACUUCUUUUCUAGCGAGGACCACUUUGAAUUUUAGAACAAAAGAGUGAGGACAUUUUUGGAGAUUGAGGACAUUUUCUCUUCAACUUCUUAAAAGGUCAGUUUGAGGGUUAAGACCUAGAAUUGGGCUUUGUAUUGUAUGUGGAUAACUUUUCAAAAGUUUUGUGAAUAUUGAUAAUGUUAAAAAAGCAACUGUGAAAGACAGAAAUGUUGCACAUACUCCCUACUAAGGCUGGGCGGUAUAAUGACUUUUCACAAGAUAUGGAAUGAGAAUUUAUUGAUAUGUUGAGUAUAUAUUGAUAUAGUGUUACAUAUAUGACAUUUCUUCUGCUCAUUGAAUCAACAAGAGUCUCAGCUUUCCAGUCAGAAGUCAGUGUGCAGAAAUAUACAAAUACACCAUUUUAGGU